rnacentral:rRNA from 1 species
UGCUUCCUACGGGGCGCAGCAGUCGGGAAUAUUGCGCAAUGGAGGAAACUCUGACGCAGUGACGCCGCGUAUAGGAAGAAGGUUUUCGGAUUGUAAACUAUUGUCGAUAGGGAAGAAAAAAGACUGUACCUAUCAAGAAAGCUCCGGCUAACUACGUGCCAGCAGCCGCGGUAAUACGUAGGGAGCAAGCGUUAUCCGGAAUUACUGGGUGUAAAGGGAGCGUAGACGGUUAAGUAAGUCUGGAGUGAAAGGCCGGGGCCCAACCCCGGGACUGCUCUGGAAACUAUUGAACUUGAGUGCAGGAG